CCUGAACAUAACAGGGACCCGAAGGUAAGAAAUUGGGAACAGGUAGGACCGAAAGGGUUUUGCCAGCGCAGAGUACGCGGAACUUUCGGCAAUAGAGUCAGAGUCAUGGGGACUAGCCCGUCGAUGCAGAGUCAAUAUAUAGCUGUCUUGAAAUCAUUGUUAAAGAGUUCAGGGGUAAAAGUGAAGAAUGAGGCUUUUAAAAAAUUGAAGCAAUUCAGCAGCACUGUUAUUGGUUUAACCCAGAAGGAAAACAGCAGUUAAAUCUUAAGUUGUGGAAACAAGUUGGAAGGUCAUUAAGGAGGGCUCACCAACAGGGAAAAGCUAUAGAGGCUGAUGUAUGGGCUGUUUUUAAUUUAGUAACGUUAGCUUUACAGUCCUUUCAGUCUGAUUCUGAAGAUUAUGAAGAAAUUCAUUCCUAUGAAGUCACAAAGUGCUGCUCCAGGAGCUGAGUGUUUAAAUCCUGAGCCUCUCCCUCCUGGGAAAUCACUACCACCCGAGCUGCUCCCGUUAGAGGUCACUGAACCGAGGGAAUCAAGUGAAGGACAGAAAGCUAGGGUUAAAAAUCAAUUAGGGGGUUAUGAAACAAUAACCUCAGCCAGCGAUUCAGAGCUGGACGAUUCAUCUUCUGCUGGUUCGGAAGAUGAUUAUUGCCCUCGCCCUAAGUUAAGGCAGAGAAUAGUGGCGAGAAGGGAAACAGAGAUGAAGGAACUUUUAGGGAGUUUAAAAGAAUUAUUACCUACAGUAGUAGAAGAAAAGAAAGAGAAUAAAAGUCCUCAGGAGUUGGCUGCGCCACCGCCAAAAAGUGUAACGGAACUAGCCAUUAAUCCGGCUUUCGCGGCUAAACCUCCACCGAUUUCUUUGCCCACAGCACCUCCC